CUGUGGAUUAAAGGUGGCUUUCGGGCUGUCGCAGAUGGAUGAGCCUGCGUUGGAUUAGCUAGUUGGUGGGGUAAGGGCCCACCAAGGCUACGAUCCAUAGCUGAUUUGAGAGGAUGAUCAGCCACAUUGGGACUGAGACACGGCCCAAACUCCUACGGGAGGCAGCAGUGGGGAAUAUUGGACAAUGGGGGCAACCCUGAUCCAGCAAUGCCAUGUGUGUGAAGAAGGCCCUAGGGUUGUAAAGCACUUUAGUUGGGGAGGAAAGCCUCAAGGUUAAUAGCCUUGGGGGAGGACGUUACCCAAAGAAUAAGCACCGGCUAACUCCGUGCCAGCAGCCGCGGUAAUACGGGGGGUGCAAGCGUUAAUCGGAAUUACUGGGCGUAAAGGGUCUGUAGGUGGUUUGUUAAGUCAGAUGUGAAAGCCCAGGGCUCAACCUUGGAACUGCAUUUGAUACUGGCAAACUAGAGUACGGUAGAGGAAUGGGGAAUUUCUGGUGUAGCGGUGAAAUGCGUAGAGAUCAGAAGGAACACCAAUGGCGAAGGCAACAUUCUGGACCGAUACUGACACUGAGGGACGAAAGCGUGGGGAUCAAACAGGAUUAGAUACCCUGGUAGUCCACGCUGUAAACGAUGAGUACUAGCUGUUGGAGUCGGUGUAAAGGCUCUAGUGGCGCAGCUAACGCGAUAAGUACUCCGCCUGGGGACUACGGCCGCAAGGCUAAAACUCAAAGGAAUUGACGGGGACCCGCACAAGCGGUGGAGCAUGUGGUUUAAUUCGAUGCAACGCGAAGAACCUUACCUGGUCUUGACAUCCUGCGAACUUUCUAGAGAUAGAUUGGUGCCUUCGGGAACGCAGUGACAGGUGCUGCACGGCUGUCGUCAGCUCGUGUUGUGAAAUGUUGGGUUAAGUCCCGCAACGAGCGCAACCCCUAUUGAUAGUUACCAUCAUUAAGUUGGGUACUCUAUUAAGACUGCCGCUGACAAGGCGGAGGAAGGUGGGGACGACGUCAAGUCAUCAUGGCCCUUACGACCAGGGCUACACACGUGCUACAAUGGGUAUUACAGAG
rnacentral:rRNA from 1 species